UGCGCUGUCCAAUGAGCACGCGCGGAUCGGCUCCCUCGCGGGAUCUGGGUUUCUUACCCCGCCCCCUCAGGGAUUUGAUUGGGCGGCUGGCCCGGGUGCUCCGCCUUCGUAGAGCGGUGACGGUCACAGCCAGGCGCAGCCGGGACCCGGACAUUUACAGGCCAGUGAAUGGUGAGUUCAGGGUCUCGAGAUCCGAUACGGGCGGAGGAGCUGUUGGAACCGGCUGGGACAGGACUCGCGCUAGCAAGGCGUCUGCGCCACGGACGCCUCCGGUUCCGCUUGGCUGGCUGGUUCACUUUCGAUUCGGCCGGGUUCUCCUCUGCCCUGUUCGGCUUGGUCCGGUUCUCUCCGGCUUGGCUCGGUUCUCUCCGGCUUGGCUCGGUUCUCUCCGACCCGGCCAUCGCUACCCUCGGUCAGCCAGAGACUGCAGCGGGACCCGGGUGCCCCUUCGCGUCCCCGAGGCGACUGGGCCCAGGGCUGGCGCUGUCUUCACUCUGUGCAUUGACGACGGGCGGCUCGUGACGAGGCUCCGGGUUCCGGUGCUGGUCCCCAGCCGGUCCUCGUCGUACGGGAAGCCUCCACUCAGGUGUCUGAAGUGAAUCUGGAUUUGUAGGUCUCAUUCCGCUUCCUCGGUUCGAGAAAACACUAUCAGUCCACCUGUCCUUCAUUCUGCUUUUCGAAUUUCUUAGUUCCCAAAGAAAUGGAUGACACUUGAGUGUUUUGAAGUAAGGAAUCCUUUAGCCAGCGCUGCGAGGGACACGUGUGUUGUCUGCAGUCGCUGGUAACCGCUUCGUGUGGUGGUGGAUUGGAUCAGAACGAGGCUGAGGAGCCGUCACCCUCAGCCUGGGACCGCUGAAGUUUUUGUGUGCUCUUGGGAAGCAUGCCUGGAUGAAAGAGGAGUCCAGAGAAAGGGAAGAUAAGACAGGAGUGCACCAGCACAAGAACAUAACUUUGAAAACAACCGAGUUUUCUUGAACUGUAUACCUUCAGAAGGGAGGAGGAUGAUCCUGUCUCUGCCCACCCUGACUGUCCUCAUCCCGCUCAUCUCCCUGGCGGGCCUGUUCUACUCCGCCUCUGUGGAAGAAAACUUCCCAGAGGGCUGUACCAGCGCCAGCAGCCUGUGCUUCUACAGUUUGCUUCUGCCGGUCACCGUACCGGUGUACGUGUUCUUCCACCUGUGGACUUGGAUGGGCCUGAAGCUCUUCAGACAUAACUAGGGUAGCUGAGGCCCCGCUUGUGCACGGGGCAAGAGGCUCCUGGUUGUUGGGUUCUGCCCUCAGGUGUUGCAGAUUCUCCUGUUAGUGCUGUAGCUGAAAAACACUUACAAUAAAUAUGUCCCAAGGGAGAGGAACAUGACCGGUCUUCAUCCGAAGACUGUUUUUUCUAAGAUUUAUUCUUAAUUAUGUGGAUAUGAGUGUGGGUCCCCAAAGAGGCCACACGAGGGUUGGAGGUACGAGCAACUGUAAGACUGCCGGAGCUUUACUCAGAUCCUCUGCAAGGGCAAGCAAGUUCAUGUCCUUAACCCCUGAGCAUCUCUCCACCUGCCUGUUUCCUCCCUUCCCUUAGUUCUGGCUAACCUCAAACUGUGAGAGGCAGACCUUGACCUCCUUACCUUCCUGUCUCUACCUCCUGAGUGCUGAAGUUAUAGGCAAGCAUUGCCGCAUGUGUUUAUGUGGUCUGGCAGAACCCAGGUCGUGAACGCUAAGUCGGCACUCUGCCAGCCAACCACCCUGAGGACUGUGUUGUUGUUGUUGUUGUUUUGAGUCCAUUCAUUUAAAAGUCCGUCAUUUGGAAGCCGAGCAGUGGUGGCACUCACCUUUACUCCCAGCACUCGGGAGACAGAGGUGGAUCUCUUGAGUUUGGGCCAGCACAACGAGACUGUAAAAAUAAUAAUUUGGGAUUUUGUUUCAGCUUCAAGGUCAGUGGUGAGGUGUUGGAUCUGCUGAGACAAGGGUUUCAGAUGGUUGGGAACUACUGUGUGGGUGCUGAAGAAAAUCCAGUGCUCAGGGAUGACUCCUUUGAGGAGCUGAGUGGUCCGUAGGUUGGUGGCUCACAACUGCCUGUAUUUCCAGUUCCAGAGGCUCUGACUCCCUCUGCUGGACUCUGGGUACCUGCACACCUGUGACAUGUCUAUUCAUUCACACACAUUAAUAAAUUUAUUUUUAAGAGGGAAAAAAAUCUGACUAUAAACUUACCUUCAUUGUUUUUUCUUUUACAUUUAUUUUUUUUCUUUUCUUUUUUUUCAGAGCUGGGGACCGAACCCAGGGCCUUGCACUUGCUAGGCAAGCGCUCUACCACUGAGCUAAAUCCCCAACCCCUCUUUUACAUUUAUUUAUAUGAGUACACUCUAGCUGUCUUCAGACACACCAGAAGAGGGCAUUGGGUCCCAUUACAGAUGGUUGUGAGCCACCAUGUGGUUGCUGGGAAUUGAACUCAGGACCUCUGGAAGAGCAGCCAGUGCUCUUAACCACUGAGCCAUCUCUCCAGCCCCUACCAUCAUUUUUUCAGUGUCAGGUGAGCAAGGUCAGUGUUGGUGUUUUCUGGUUCUUGGAUUCUUAUUCAAGGAAUAAAGGCCCAUAUACAGAUUUUCAAAGUUGCAAGGAAAUUUCACUCAAAGCAGAGCUAGAUCAGGCAUGCAGAUACAUGAGCCUAUGGGGGCUCUUCUUACUCAACCACGACACCUGUUCUCCCAGCCUAAAUUCCUCUGACUCCUUAUGACUCCCUGUACCUCUAAGUUCAGAGGCUCUGCCUCCAAAAGCACUGUACUCAGGUUUUUAACACACACCCCUAAAAAUAAACACAAAGUUUUCAAAAAAGAGAACAUGUUUUCUUUGGCUGAAAGCCGUCCAUCCUUGCUUGAAGGUAAGCCAGAGAUGGGUGUGACCAUUGCCAGUUCUUGA
ensembl:lncRNA Pigy phosphatidylinositol glycan anchor biosynthesis, class Y